UGGCGCUUCUCGCGGAUGGUGGUGGUCGCGUGCCGGAGGUUGCGGCGCAUCUGGGCGUUCCCCAGGGUGUCCCGGGCCGCCGCCGGGAAGGGCCGG
rnacentral:tRNA from 1 species